AAUGACAUAAGGUUCAAUAUUACUUGUGCGAAAAGCAUCAAACCUACAACAAUAUCUAGCAAAUCGUCUACAUCGGGGGAAUACGAAACAUCCACAAGUACAGGACAAGUAACUAAUACAGAAUCAUAUACAGAAUCAUAUACAGAAGAUAACAAAGACACAGGAGGAAACAAAUUUAUAAUUCCGGUUGUGGCAGCAUUAUCUGGCCUUAUAGUUUUGGUGAUUGUGAUAGUCGUAAUCAUUGUCUAUAGAAGAUCACAACAAAGCAAAGGAAAAUAGCAAACAUUGAUUUGAUGAGCUAUCACUGCCCCAGCACCGGCAUGACCGGAACUAUAUCAUUCAGAAACAUUGAAUGGGUUGCGUGAUCCCAAGGACUAGAAAAUAUGAAAACACAAGGCCAGUAUUAAUUAGAAAACUCCUACUGUCUGGUUUAUGUUAAGUAUCGAGGUCGGUGUUUGAUGUUUGUUUUCUGCUCCUUUGAGAAAUAGAAAGCCAAAGUUACGUUGUUAAUGAAUUGAAUUUAUCAAGGUAAGAUGCGAGCCUCCGGCUUAUGUUAUUCAGGUUGUUCAAUUAACAACACAUAGUAGUAAUAUAUUCUAUGAAAUAAAGGCAUCGCAGUGCAGCUAAAGAAUACGUUAUUGUACAUAGUGAUAUAAUAAUCUGGUGUAUUUAUACAUUUAAAGGUAUACUAAGCAUUAUUCUAUGUUUCAUAUGACAACGAAAUCUUUAAAGACUACCGUCAUUUUAUUAUUCGGCAAGCUUUAAACUUUGUAAACUAAUUUGAUUUCUUGCGAGUUUGAUUAUGCUAUUCAUAAUACUUAUGCAUCACCCCUAAACGUCUGACGCACUCACUA